rnacentral:lncRNA from 1 species
UGUCUGUGUUCUCUCAUCAUUUAUAAUAUUUGCACUCCAUUUGAUUAAACCAAUUGUAUCAUUUCUCACCCUCUUGAAGGGUUUGGCAUUUGCUUUAACUGUGAGUAUAAUUUUAUUUCUUUAUUUAUUUUGUCAAUUGUUUCAUUUUAUUCAUGUGCAUGCGUGUGUGUCCACUCUUGUUUCACAACAUAAGGAACAAUAUCAAAAUGAUCUCACUGCUACUUCCAGCAAAUAUAGGUUUCCAUCUUUCAUGUUCAUUUCUUCAGCAUCAUGCAGUUGUAUUCGUAUUACUUUUUCUUCAAACAUUUUGUGCAAAUAGACUAAUUAAGCUUUGGCCAGUCAUUGGUUAUCUCUAAAUAUGGUCCACAAACUGGGCUGGCACAAGGACCAUUCUUAUUUGGACUUCCUGUAAACUAUCUCAAUAAUGAAUGAAGUUGAAUGUCCCUGCUGGAAAUUUCAAUGGACAUAUUCAGCAACACUAUGAUCACUUGUCCAAUUUAUGUAGAAGCUAUGCAUAUGAUACAAGAUCAGAUUUUCUAAAGUUCUGUAAUGCAAAUUAGCUAACCAAUAUGAACUUCAGGAAACUGGCCAACCACCCAAUUAGAUGAACACAAAACCCAAAUAGACUCUAUCUCCACCAGAAAAUGUGAUGGGCAGAUGGUUGUAAAAUGGUUGUAAAAUGUCCUAUCUAACAUAGGUUAGUUGUUAGUGACUUCAGAGUUAGAGCUAGAUAUACUUGGAGGCAAACAACAAUUUGGAGAAAGAAAUGUCUCUGAAAGUAAGAGUCAAGUGCUUUGCUCUUAGAUUCAGAAAAGUUCUAGUUGAUAUUAUAGAUGGAAAUGAGGUAGAGACAGGGCAGGGGCUUAUAAAAUAGAGAAAAAAACAAGGAAUUUCUGGUGGAACAACUUGAUGAGAACUACAGACCAAAUAUGUGGCUGGUACAAGGCCUCACAUGUGACAUGGUGGUGAAAUAGUACAAUAUAUAAAGCCAUAAAAACUAAUAGACAGACUUGCAAAGACUGGGGAAAAAAAUUAGGCUAGAGAGAGUAAUACUAACUUUCUCUCUCUCUCUCUCUCUCUCUCUCUCUCUCUUUUGCUCCUUCGCUCUUUCAUCAGUAAUCAGGCAGUUGGUAUCUCUAUUUAUCUUCCAUUAUUCCCCUCUACUACCUUCUCCCCAACCACUCUGUUUCUACAAUUAUACUCUUUCUCUCUUCACUCACUCACCCUGGCUCUUCUAUCACUCCCUCUUUGAUUAACUCUUUUUUUUUACAUCACCUUAACAGGAUGUGGCUGUUUGAUAAGAAGCUUUCUUCCCAACCACAUAGUUCCAGGUUCAAUCUCACUGUGUGGAACCUUGGGCAAAUGUCUUCUACUAUAGCCUCAGGCUAACUAAAGCCAUGUAAGUGGAUUUAGUAGAUGGAAACUGAAAGAAGCCCAUUGUGUGUGUGUGUGUGUGUGUGUGUGUGUGUGUGUGUGUGUGUGUGUGUAGCUAAUGAUUCUGCCAGCUUGCCGCCUUAAUAUAAUAUCAUAUAAUGAAUGCAAAAACUAAUUUCUGUGUGUUAGUGUGUUACACUUUGACUCCCCUGUCUCACUAUUCAGUGACACUUCUACUAUUCCUCAUGAUGGCACGAGAGUAAUAGUAGGCAUAGAGAUGGUGAGGGUGGUGGCGAAGACAGAGAGAGAAAGAAAAAGAGAGAGAGAGAGUUGAUGAUGUUUUGUUAAAAGUAGUAGUGUUGAUGGUGGCAGUGGGAGUAAUAAUAAGAGAGAGAGAAAGAGGGAGAUGAUAUACAACUUUGUUUAACCAUGUCUCUUUGACAGAAAUUCCUGUGGCCAACAUACUGAACAUUUUUUUACUUUCUUUAAUACAUACGUACACACACACACACACACACACACACACAUAUAUAUAUAUAUAUAUAUAAUAAUAACAAAGGGUAAAAUUAAUUAAUUAAGAAUUAAUUAAUAAUUUCACCAAGCAGAAUUCUGCAUGAAAAAAGGACCAUUUCAUGGUAAACUUAAGUAAUACUUAAUAAAUAGGGUUCAGCAAAGAUUUGCUUUACCACAUACUGAAAUUUAGAAAUAGCAGCCAAAAAACGUUAGCUAUUUCUUCUACUUUAAAAAGGGACUCCCAAAAAAACCAAAGUACUUGAAAACAAUCACACAGGCAGAGAGGAAAAGUAACGAAAAUCAAUCAAUAUCUGGUCACCUAUGGACGCGCGUUUCGGAAUUAGGUUUGGAAUAAAGAAUAUAUAAUUAUACUUUACCCACCGUUUUCCUCUUCAGCAUAGGAACUCAGGAUUCGAAGGUGCUGGAAUAAUUGAACAUAUCUCUCUACCUAACGGUAUCCGACAGAUAAUAUUCAAUGUUAGCACCACCGAAUUCAAAACAUGAAUGAGGCUCAAUUACCCUCCCCUGCCCGACCUCAUGUGUCUUCAAGUAAGCUACUACAGAAAAAAAUCUGUAGUUUGUUAUCAGGGAGAAAAUUCUCUGCCUGUGUGAUUGUUUUCAAGUAUUUUGGCUUUUUAAAAUAGAAGAAAUAGCUAACGUUUUUUGGUUGCUAUUUCUAAAUUUCGGUAUGUGGUAAAGCAAAUCUUUGCUGAACCCUAUUUAUUAAGUAUAUAUGAUUUUGAUUUUGAUUUUUCCAGUUUCAGCUAAUGAGCUGUGGCCAUGCUGGGGCACCGCCAUAUAUAUAUAUAUAUAUAUAUAUACACGCACACACACAUAUACAUAAAAUACACUUUAAUUGAAAUUAAGUUUCCCCAGAAUUAAACGUAUCUAAUAUAAUAAAUGUGAAUGUCAGUGUAUCACACUUUUUCGACUUUACUCUGUGAGUAACUUAAAAACAUUCUGAGCCAAAUCCAGACCUGCAUUCCUGAAAUUUUGGAUUCCUGUGUUUUCAUUACUGCAAUUAUUUUUGGCAAUAUUUUUAACAUGAUUUUUAGCGAUGAAUAUGAUCAUUGGGAUAUGACUCUGGAGGAAGCAAUUGCAACAAAUUCUCCACAAGUCAGAGAUCUGUUUGCAGAUCUUCCCAUUCGGGGUCGGUUGCUUAAAAGCUAUAUACUAGCUUAAAAGCCAUCCAAUAGGGCAGCUUUUAAGCUUAUUUAAGAAUAUUACUCUAAAAUACUUUAAAACUGAGGUUAUAUCACCCUCAGAAUUAGUUGAGGCUUUCAUUCAGCUUUAAUGCAGUUUCACAAUAUAAAACUCUCUAAGAGAGAAUGUAUGAUUCUGACUACAUCAAAACUGAGCAAGACCUACUUAUACUGUAAACAUAAACCUUCAGUUUUCAACUGUAUAUGUUGUACCUCUCUUAAUUGUAAUAAUCUCAAAAUUAUUUGAAAGCUAUAUUAAAUAUAUAUUGUUAUAAAUAAUAACAUCAUUCAUAAGCUCUGCAUUGAGUUGUGCAAUCUUUCUCAUACAGUUAUUGUCAAAUAUGCUCUAUUUGAUCAUUUUAUUCCCAUCAAAAAAGUCACUUAUGUUUCUGACCAUGAUGAGGCUGAAAGAACUGCAAUCUUUUAGCUGUCGUUUUUUUAAAUUUUAUUUUACUCUAUGGAUUAUAGUCCCAGCAACAUUCUGCUGGAAAACAAUUACUUUUCCAUAAGGUUAUGGCUGAGGUUAAAGUGUUGUAUCACAUUCAGGUUUUACAGCUUGUUGUCUGCCUGAUCAAGGUACGUAACUCAGUUUACCCAACAGCAAUAAUAUACGUUGUACUCCUACUUCGUGGUUGAUUGUGCUUGAGUAGGAAAGAUAUCAAACAGUAAAAGUAAUUUUGCUCAACCAAAUAAAUGAUACCAAACAUGCAAACAUAAAGAAAUAAAUUCAAAACAGUUUCACAAAAAAACCCUCUUAUUUCUUUUUCCAGGUGAUAAUAACUUGCAUUAUUGGCUUCAAAAUCCGAGAGAAUGUUAUUGACGACUACCACAAUAUUGGCAAUUCUUUCCUCAUGGGAACUGUAGCAUUGGGUAGGCAUGGAUUAUUGUAUUCUUAAUCGAUACAUAUUAUGUAUCUAACUACUAUUUAUUUAUUAUUCACAUACUCAGUUUUUUUUUCAUGUACCUGGUUGCUACACACAAUAGCUAUGUAUGUAUAUAUGAUGUUCCAAAUUCUCACAAACUUUGUUGUUAUAUGCAUUCUUGUUAAGCACUUAGUUGUCAUGUACCUCAUAAUCAUAAACCACACACCAUUUAGUAAAUUCCUAUGUAAAAGACCCCCUUUGGUCAUGAAUGACCAUGGGAUUGCACCUACAAAGUUACCUUCCAACACACAAGUCCAGGCAAGGUUGUUUUUAUGGAAUACCCACAGUCACCCAUGCAUACCAGCCUCCACACCACAAAUGUUAUCCAAGGGAAAGGUAAAAGCUGAUACAGCUUGGCACCAGUGAUGUUGCAACUCAUUUCUACAGCUGAGUGAACUGGAGCAACAUGAAAUAAAGUGUCUUGCUCAAGAGCACAACAUACAGCCUGGUCCAGGAAUUGAACUCACUACCUGAUGAUAGCGAGCCUGUAUGUGUUUAUUUGCUAUAUAACAAUAGUUACAUGUACCUGCUUGUUAAGUGUCCAACCGUUACAGUACCGAAAUAUGUACCAAGUAGCCAUGUUGAUAUGCCCUAGGGUUUUAUGCACAUACAUUUUUCUUAUGGCAGUUAUUCCAUAAAUCACCUUUUUAUUGGAUUUGUUUAGUGUGGAAAAAGAGCCCAUGACACUCGCAAGCCCUCCAAGGUCAUGGAGAACAAUAUGGUUGAUGUUUCUCUUGAAUAGACACAAGUUAACUAUUUUGGGGAAAAUAUAACCAAGGAGGGAAUUCUAGAAGGCAGAUGUUCUGCAGGAGAAGGAAUAGGUGUAGUGAAUAAUGUGGAUGGAUAAACGUGGGUAAUGAGAAAAAGAGAAAUGAUCGAGUCAGGAUAGUCUGAGCAGUUGUUGUUCUAGACCAACCAAUUUCAAUUGCUAGAGACCAUUGUAGUAGUGAUAUAAAAAUAGAGAGAUGACACUGCAUCUGUGGGAAGGAUAUUAGAGAGUGUUGAGAAGUAAUUUCUUGCCAGUCAGAUAGGUGACCUCUUUUUUUAUGCAAUCUAAGAUAUCUGUGGGAGUAGAGGCAGUACUGUCCUAGAUGUAAGAUUAGUAUUCUGCUGUGGGCCCUUCAGCUGAGCUUUGUCUAUUUUCUGGUCCUGAAGAAAAAAGCUAGUUUUUGUGAUAUGAAGGAUGUGUGUUUGCCAGGAGAGAUCUUCAGUGAACUUGAGGAUUCUAUUUGAGUACUGUUCGUGCUUAGGGGUAGGAUAUAAUACUGUUUUCUAAACGUGUAAUUGUUAUGUCAUUGUGCAAUUGAAGGAGAUAAAAUUUACAUAAUCCUAUUGGAGGAUGUUUUCAAAGUUUUUGCUCAUGGAAUCAGUGCAGGUUUGAAGCAAAGUAUCUAAUUUGCAGGUUUGAAACGAGGUAUGUGCAUCACAUUUGUAUGAGAAUGUUUAGAGAGGGUGGAAGGGCAGUAUCAUCCACAUAAGAAUGGCCAUUAUUCGAGGCAACAGCAAGUAGGACAUUGGGCUACAGGAGAAAAAAUUUAAGAUGAGCACCAAACUUUUUGGCACAUCAGAAUCAAUAGAGUGUAAGUCAGAGGAAGCUCCUUCAGUGCAUAUCUCAACAGUGCAAUUUGACAAAAGUUAUAGAUCCAAAAGAUGCAAACUAUAUGCAAAGAGGCAGAAAAGGUCUACUUACUAAGAGAUUUGUACAUUAGACAUGAUCAAAUACCUUGCUGAUGUUGGGCACAACAACACCGUUUUCACCAGAUUUCUCAUGAUUAAGGAAUCACUGUUAUGGAACAGAAAAGGGUCUCUUUUGAUGUAGUUUUAUGGAGGCUGUACUUGUGGUUAUUUAGUGGAUAGAGAAACUGAAGGUAUUGGAGAAGAAGGUUGUAAAUAGCUAUUGCCAUUACCUUACAAAUGUUGGAAGUGUGAUAGGACAAUAUUUGGCAGGGUUAGAGGGGUUGCUCUUUUUACAGAAUGUAGUAUGUUUCCAAACAUCAAAACAUAUUUCUGGGAAAAGAGAGUGAGGGAGAGAGAUUAAAAAGUAUAGUGAAAAUGAGAGCUAGUCUGGGUGCAUUGUUUAAGCAGAAUAGAAUGUACAUCAUCAAAGAUGGUGGCUUUGUUGCUUUGAUGUGACCAAAUGUAAAUUUACAAAAUAGCAUUUAUGCAUGCAUGGAUGAGUCUGGAAAAUGGAAAGGAAUAAUGUUUUAAAUUUACUAAAGUGGAGCAUGUGCAGUGUGGAGUUGGAUGCAAAGCAGUGAAUUAAUAUGAGGGAUUUUUUUCCAUUGGAGUCCUGCUAACAGAGACAUUAUGAUUGAGAAAUGAAGGAAAGGAGAAUUCCACAAAAUUAUUAGAGAUUCUUUUGUUAAGAGACCAGAAGGACUGGCUGCAGUUUGAUAAAUGGGACAUUUCUUUUAGCUGUACAAUACUUAGAGAAGUCCUUCACAUUUUGGAUGAUGAUCUUGCAAAAAUUGCAGGGUUGGUCAUUCAGUUUACAAUUUUUUGUUAUGUACCUCGACUGGCUUCCAUGCUGGUGGCACGUAAAAAGCACUAUCCGAAUCGUGGCCAAUGCCAGUGCCGCCUCGACUGGCUUCCGUGCCGGUGGCAUGUAAAAUGCACCAAUCCGACCGUGGCCGUUGCCAGCCUCGCCUGGCAACUGUGCAGGUGGCACGUAAAAAGCACCCACUACACUCACGGAGUGGUUGGCGUUAGGAAGGGCAUCCAGCUGUAGAAACAUUGCCAGAUAAGACUGGAGCCUGGUGUAGCCUUCUGGCUUCCCAGAUCCCCGGUCGAACCGUCCAACCCAUGCUAGCAUGGAGAACAGACGUUAAACGAUGAUGAUGAUGAUGAUGAUGAUGAUGUACCUACUUAUAUACUUAAUUAAUGUGUACCACAUUGCCAUUCAAACACAAAUGAUUGCUUGUUGUGUUCUUGGUUUUUUUUUUGUUCUUUUUUGCUUAAGUAAUUGUCAUCAUAAUUACCAUGUAUUUGUUGUCAUGUGUUUGUUCAUUACAUAUCUUUUGUUUGUAGCAUUUUGUACUUGAUAGUGAAACACCUUGUUACCAAGGUCCUUGGUAAGAAGCUAUAUGCUUUAUUAUUUGCAAUGUAGCUGUUUAAGUUGCCUGUUGCAGAGCUUCUUAUGUUACCUCAUUGUAUAUGGUAUAGCAGCCGAUUAGAUAUCUGAUGGUCUCUGGUGUAGCUAAUUAUGUAUCUGAUUAUGUAUUGUAUAACUUAUCCUAUUUGAUUGUCCAUGAUAUAGCUGUAUAGGUACCCAACUGGCUGCUGUACAGCUUCUUAUAUUUCCAGAUUGCUGGAUAUUUGACUGUCUGUUGUAUAGCUUGUGUGUGUGUGUUGUUGCAUGUCAUAUAGCUGGUUAGGUUCUUCAUCGUCCAUUGUAUUGAAUAGCUGCUUAUGUCUGAUCGUUAACAUUUCCAUUUCAGAAGUUUUAAUUCUUUUCCCUCAUUUUAUUAUAUCAGUACUAUAAUAAUAAUAAUAUCAAGUGUGUUGCAUAUAGUGCUCAAAUGUAGUACAACUCCUCAGAAAAGAUGAAAAGGGGAGACCAACUGCAAUAGUAAAACAUGUGAAUAAAGGAAGACAAUAAUGAAAUAUAUAUACAAUGUACUCAGAAUAUAACACAACACAAACAAAAAAAUAGGAUCACAAAAGAGCCUCAAAGAAGAAAAGAAUACUUAGGUAGGUCAAGAGUAGAAUGAAUAGUUAAUAGAUUAGGAAAGUAUUAAAUUUUUGAAGGACACAUUGCCCUAUUAGUUAAUGACUGAUGUGGGUAUCUCAUUCUUUGUUCCAACAAAUCUGAGUGUAAAGUUCUGGGUGUUGUGUUGUUUAAUAUUUUAAGCUCUUGUUUAGUCAUUAGACUGCAACCAUGCUGGGGCACCACAUUCAAGAAGUUUAGUCAAAUAAAUCAACCCCAGUACUUACUUUUUUUUAAGCUUGUUACUUAUUCUAUUGGUCUCGUUUGCCAAGCUGCUAAGUUACAGGAAUGUAAACACACAGACACUGGUUGCCAAGCAGUGGUGGCAGCAAACACAGACACAAAGACACACACAUAGAUGCACACACACAAACACACACACACACACACACACACACACACACACACACACACACACACACACACACACACACACACACACACACACACACACACACACACACACACACACACACACACACACACACACAUGAUGGGUUUCUUUCCAGUUCUGUCUACCAAACCCACUCACAAGACUUUGUUUGGCCCAAGGUUAUAGUAGAAGACACUUGCCCUAGGUGAUAUGCAGUGGAACUGAACCCAGAACCAUAUGGUUAUGAACCAAACUUUUUACUACACAUGUUUCUAGAUUUUAUUAGCAUGGCCAUUAGUGGUAGAGACAUUGAAUUCAAAAAGGUCAUCAAAGUUAUUGGAGUGGAAAUGGUGGCUAAUCUUGUGGGACUUUACCAUGUCAGCUGCUACACAUCAAAACUUUAAUGUCUCACUUCCUAUGAGGACAAGAUGUACAAGAUAUAUUAAGUGAAUGAAAGAGAUCAUUUGUCUGGUUACAUGUCUCUAGGCAGCUUUCAGUAGAUCAAUCUUCAGGACAAGAUGUGAGUUCCAAAAUAGAGAUGCAAACAGCUGAUAGAAGUCAUAGUGAGUAACAUCAAAAUACCAUUGGUCAUUAUUAUCCUUUCAGGGACAAUCAAAUAAAACAUCAGUCAUACACUGCAUUUGAUGGUAUCAACUGACACCUCCCUAAAAUUGCUGGUCAUCUAUGUAAAUCAUAAACCAUUAUUAUUAUUACUGUUAUUGUUGUCAUUGUUGUUGUUACUAUUAUUAUUAUUAUUAUUAUUAUUGGCUCAUGGCUCGCAGGACAGCAUGCUGUGCUAACCUUGGAUUAUAGAGUGACCCACUGUUCUUGAGGAGACCUACUGAGUCAAGUAUGUCAACACCAACAUCAAAAUAAAAAUCAAAUGGAAAUUGUAGUUAAGAUACCCAUGCCAGUGGCAUGUAAAAAUGACCAUCCGAAUGUGGCUGAUGCCAGCACUGCCUGACUGGUGUCUGUGUCGGUGACACGUAAAAAGCACCAACUGAUUGUGGCCGUUUGCCAGCCUCCUCUGGCCCCUGUGCUGGUGGCACAUAAAAAGCACUCACUACACUCACGGAGUAGUUGGCGUUAGGAAGGGCAUCCAGCUGUAGAAACACUGCCAGAUCAGACUGGAGUCUGGCGCAGCCUCCUGGCUUCCCAGACCUCAGUCGAACCAUCCAAACCAUGCUAGCAUGGAAAACAGAUGUUAAAUGAUGAUGAUGAUUAUUAUUAUUAUUAUUAGUAGUAGUAGUAGUAGUAGUAGUAGUAGUAGUAUAAGGUAGUGGAUAGGCAGAAUCAUUAUGGUAUAGGACGAAAUGGUUUGUGUUAUUUAGGUACAGCUCUUUAUAGUCUGGAUUCAAAUCCUGCCAAGAUCAACUUUGCCUUUCAACCCUCGAGGAUCAAUAAAAUAAAGUGCUAAAUGAUUAUUGACAGCAUUAAAAAGAAAAGAAAAACACUUUUGCAAUCAAACUGGUGUCUUUGAUAAAUAUUUUUUUCCACCAGGAUUGACUUUGUCUUUCAUCCUUUCAGAGUCGAUAAAAUAAGUAUCAGUUGAACACUGGGGUCAAUGUAAUCAAUUAUCUCCAUCCCCAAAAUGUCAGGCCUUGUGCCUUUAGUAGAAAGGAUUAUUAUUUUAUUCUUCAUUAAGACAGCAAUCUAGCAGUAACAUUAGCACAUCAAACAAAAUGCUAAGUGGCAUUUUAUCCAUCUGUACAUUCUGAGUUCAAAUUCUGCUAAGAUCAACUUUGUCUUCCAUCAUUUUGAGGUUGACUUUGCCUUCUAUCCUUUUAGGGUUGAUAAAAUAAACCCCAGUUGUGCACUGGGAGGUCAAUGUAAUCAACUUCUCCACACACACACACACACACACACACACAUUCCAAAAAAUUACUAGCCUUGUAUCAAAAUUUAAAACCAUUUGUUUAUUCCUCAUUAAGAUGAAGAGCUGGCAGAAUUGUUAGUGCAUUGAAAAAAAUACUUGAGGCACUUUUUCCAGCUUUUUACAUUCUAAGAUCAAAUUCCAUCAAAGUCAUCUUUGCCUUUCUUCCUUUUGGAGUCAAUAAAAUAAGUACAAGUUGAACACUGGUAUCAAUAUAAUCAGGUAACCCUCUCCCCUUAAAAUUGCUGGCCUUGUGCCAAAAUUUGAAACCAUAAAUUUAUUCUUCAUUCUUCUUUUAUUUUUAUUCUUCAUUUUUAUUUUAUUUUUAUUCUUCAUUUUAGGGGGAACUAUAUAUGUGAUGCCAUUUCUUUACAAAGAUAUUGUGCAAAAUAAAACAGAG